ACUAAAUAACGCCGUUGACUUUUAGACACACUUUUGACCAUUCGUCUUAUUCAAAAAAAUUACAUAAUUAUCAUUUAUUUUGUUGCAUUGUUUUAUCACUAAAAAUACUUUAAGCAUGAUUUAUAUCUAAUGCAUUUGCACAAAUUUUUUUAAUAAGACGAAUGGUUAAACGUGUGUCCAAAAGUCAACGAUGUCAUCUAUU
rnacentral:pre_miRNA from 1 species